rnacentral:snRNA from 1 species
UGUUUUGCACAAUGGCAGUAUCAUAGCGAAUGAGGUUUAUCUGAGGCAUGAUUAUUGUUUAUUGAAAACUCAUUUGAUCAUCGCAACAACUUUGUGAGGUAGGUCCUAUUAUUAUUCCCAUUUAAUAGCUGAG